GAUGAACGCUGGCGGCGUGCCUAAUACAUGCAAGUCGAGCGAACGGACGAGAAGCUUGCUUCUCUGAUGUUAGCGGCGGACGGGUGAGUAACACGUGGAUAACCUACCUAUAAGACUGGGAUAGCUUCGGGAAACCGGAGCUAAUACCGGAUAAUAUUUUGAACCGCAUGGUUCAAAAGUGAAAGACGGUCUUGCUGCCACUUAUAGAUGGAUCCGCGCUGCAUUAGCUAGUUGGUAAGGUAACGGCUUACCAAGGCAACGAUGCAUAGCCGACCUGAGAGGGUGAUCGGCCACACUGGAACUGAGACACGGUCCAGACUCCUACGGGAGGCAGCAGUAGGGAAUCUUCCGCAAUGGGCGAAAGCCUGACGGAGCAACGCCGCGUGAGUGAUGAAGGUCUUCGGAUCGUAAAACUCUGUUAUUAGGGAAGAACAUAUGUGUAAGUAACUGUGCACAUCUUGACGGUACCUAAUCAGAAAGCCACGGCUAACUACGUG
rnacentral:rRNA from 1 species